rnacentral:rRNA from 1 species
AAUGAACGUUGGCGGCGUGGAUUAGGCAUGCAAGUCGUGCGCGAAGGGUUUGGUGCUUGCAUUAGACCUGGAAAGCGGCGAAAGGGAGAGUAACGCGUAGGGUACCUACCCUCAGGCCUGGGAUAGCGGCGGGAAACUGCCGGUAAUACCGGAUAAUGUCUCCGGACCAAAGGUGUGAUUCCGCCUGGGGCUGGUCCUGCGUCCUAUUAGCUAGUUGGCAGGGUAAUGGCCUACCAAGGCGAUGAUGGGUAGCGGGCGUGAGAGCGUGGCCCGUCUCACUGGGACUGAGACACUGCCCAGACACCUACGGGUGGCUGCAGUCGAGAAUCUUCCGCAAUGGGCGCAAGCCUGACGGAGCGACGCCGCGUGCGGGAUGAAGGCCUUCGGGUUGUAAACCGCUGUCAGUGGGGUGGAAAUGCAUGAGGGUUCUCUCUCAUGUUUGACCUAACCGCAGAGGAAGUCCGGGCUAAGUACGUGCCAGCAGCCGCAGUAACAC